AGACUUGUAAUUGUUCAUGUUUUGAAGCAUUUAAUGCCUCUUUCUUCAUACGUUUGUAACAUAUCGUGCUGUUUGACGCCAGUCCGUGACGCAGCAGGUAAACUCUUAGAGCGUUACACAGUCAGCUGGCGUCACUGAUCUGACAAUCCCUCAUCAGUCGGCACGCUUCUGUGAGGAUCUCCAGCCGUCCUCUGUAUUCAUCGCUGACCGCGGCAAACGCUUCCUCAGGCGCACAGACGGCACGGAUCGUUAGGAGCACACUUCUGUGAGCCGUGAAUGAAGACAAUACAAUCGUGAAGUGACAAGUGCAUAAAUCCCAACUUCCAAACCUUUUCCUGAAAGAUGCUUCAACUUUGCAAUAGAUCUCAAAUGGAAGACGUCUCCUCUAACAACAGCACCAAUUUGUUUAUUAAAAAAAUAGU